ensembl:lncRNA
UAGGUUUAAUGGCUAUUGACCAGUCGUGCUCUUGGAGAUGAUUCUAACCAAUUAGUCCCAAUAACAAGUUCUAAUUGAACAGACACAUAUUCCCAAACAUCGUUAGUAAUGGCUUGGGUUCCGUGGAGUAAAACAGGAAGUUGAUAAAGUCGUAUUUUCUAAUUAUGGACGAAUUAGACAUUGGGCAGCAGUGGUGGAACUCAAGCAAACCCAGUCAGUUGUGCAUCCUUGGGGAGUGAGGACUGGUUGAGAGGUGGUUUUGGGGAUUGAUGAUGGGUUGAGAGGUGGUUUAGGGGAGUGAAGACUGGUUGAGAGGUGGUUUAGGGGAGUGAGGACGGUUGAGAGGUGGUUUAGGGGAGUGAGGACGGGUUGAGAGGUGGUUUAGGGGAGUGAGGACGGGUUGAGAGGUGGUUUUGGGGAUUGAUGACGGGUUGAGAGGUGGUUUUGGGGAUUGAUGACGGGUUGAGAGGUGGUUUAGGGGAGUGAGGACGGG